GACGAACGCUGGCGGCGUGCUUAACACAUGCAAGUCGAACGAUGAAGCCGGAGCUUGCUCUGGUGAAUUAGUGGCGAACGGGUGAGUAACACGUGAGUAACCUGCCCUUGACUCUGGGAUAACUGCUAGAAAUGGUAGCUAAUACCGGAUACGACCCUCGGAGGCAUCUCCAGGGGGUGGAAAGAAUUUCGGUCAAGGAUGGACUCGCGGCCUAUCAGCUAGUUGGUGAGGUAAUGGCUCACCAAGGCGACGACGGGUAGGCGGCCUGGGAGGGGGACCGGCCACACUGGGACUGAGACACGGCCCAGACUCCUACGGGAGGCAGCAGUGGGGAAUAUUGCACAAUGGGCGCAAGCCUGAUGCAGCAACGCCGCGUGAGGGAUGACGGACUUCGGGUUGUAAACCUCUUUUAGUAGGGAAGAAGCGAAAGUGACGGUACCUGCAGAAAAAGCACCGGCUAACUACGUGCCAGCCGCCGCCGUAA
rnacentral:rRNA from 1 species